rnacentral:rRNA from 1 species
AGAGUUUGAUCAUGGCUCAGGACGAACGCUGGCGGCGUGCCUAACACAUGCAAGUCGAGCGAGGAACUUCGGUUCCUAGCGGCGGACGGGUGAGUAACACGUGGGUAACCUGCCUUGUAGAGGGGGAUAGCCUUCCGAAAGGAAGAUUAAUACCGCAUAACAUUAUUUUAUCGCAUGAUAGAAUAAUCAAAGGAGCAAUCCGCUACAAGAUGGACCCGCGGCGCAUUAGCUAGUUGGUGAGGUAACGGCUCACCAAGGCGACGAUGCGUAGCCGGCCUGAGAGGGUGAACGGCCACAUUGGAACUGAGACACGGUCCAGACUCCUACGGGAGGCAGCAGUGGGGAAUAUUGCACAAUGGGCGAAAGCCUGAUGCAGCAACGCCGCGUGAGUGAUGAAGGCCUUCGGGUUGUAAAGCUCUGUCUUCUGGGACGAUAAUGACGGUACCAGAGGAGGAAGCCACGGCUAACUACGUGCCAGCAGCCGCGGUAAUACGUAGGUGGCAAGCGUUGUCCGGAUUUACUGGGCGUAAAGGAUGCGUAGGCGGAUAUUUAAGUGAGAUGUGAAAUUCCCGGGCUUAACUUGGGAGCUGCAUUUCAAACUGGGUAUCUAGAGUGUGGGAGAGGAAAGUGGAAUUCCUAGUGUAGCGGUGAAAUGCGUAGAGAUUAGGAAGAACCCCAGUGGCGAAGGCGACUUUCUGGACCAUAACUGACGCUGAGGCAUGAAAGCGUGGGGAGCAAACAGGAUUAGAUACCCUGGUAGUCCACGCCAUAAACGAUGAAUACUAGGUGUGGGAGUUGUCAUGACUUCCGUGCCGCAGUUAACACAAUAAGUAUUCCGCCUGGGGAGUACGGUCGCAAGAUUAAAACUCAAAUGAAUUGACGG